UUUAAUGAGAGUUUGAUCCUGGCUCAGGACGAACGCUGGCGGCGUGCCUAAUACAUGCAAGUAGAACGCUGAGGUUUGGUGUUUACACUAGACUGAUGAGUUGCGAACGGGUGAGUAACGCGUAGGUAACCUGCCUCAUAGCGGGGGAUAACUAUUGGAAACGAUAGCUAAUACCGCAUAAGAGUAAUUAACACAUGUUAGUUAUUUAAAAGGAGCAAUUGCUUCACUGUGAGAUGGACCUGCGUUGUAUUAGCUAGUUGGUGAGGUAAAGGCUCACCAAGGCGACGAUACAUAGCCGACC
rnacentral:rRNA from 1 species